rfam:Camelus ferus unplaced genomic scaffold scaffold370, whole genome shotgun sequence.
GGGUAUAUAGCUCAGUGAUAGAGUACAUGCCUAGCAUGCAUGAAGUCAUGGGUUUGAUCCCCAGUACAUCUG